UUCAUUGUACUCGGAUACGUAGGACAGUAAACUUGAAUGUGAUAUUUUACAAUGACGUAGUUUUAGCGAUGCGAUUAUGAAAACCUCCCACUAGAGGGCAGUACGAGCCUGCGUUACGGCUGCAGUGCCGCAGAAGGGCUUGCGCGACAGUGUCAGCGCGAUGUGUGAAGCAUCGUGAUCCAUUAACAAAGACACCUGGGUGACAUCAGGGGGUCUGAAGCGAGCAGACGCAUCGUCGUGAUGCUGCUGCAGGGGGUCUGAGGCCGCCUGGGAGGACUGGUGCCGGGCUGAAAGACUUCUCUGCUCUGAGGGCCCGUCAUCAAGGCAUCUCUGGCAGGGCUCUGCAGUAGCAUCACUGAACCUCCAGGGGGCAUCACGGCUACCACGCCUUGUCCGUCUCCCAACUGCCUAGCAGCUGGGAAAGGCACGGCUUUUCCCAAGAGCCACGGAGUUGGGGUGGGGAGUUCUUUCUCGGUCCUCUUAUCGUAUAUAAGUGCAGUUUUGCUGCGUUGGCAUCCUGAUGGAAACUAAUUCCCAGGUUUAGCGGUGUGGAAGUGAGCUUGGAGGCAGGGAACACACCGGAACGGAAUUAUCGACUGUUUCCCCCAUGCUAAUGUGCCUAUAACUGUACAAGAAACUCCACAGAAAACUUGGCUUCGAUCCUACAGAAUAAAAAAUAAACGACAGGA